UACGUAGGGCGCAAGCGUUAUCCGGAAUUAUUGGGCGUAAAGAGCUCGUAGGCGGCUUGUCGCGUCGAAUGUGAAAUCUCAGGGCUCAACUCUGACAUUGCAUUCGAUACGGGCAGGCUAGAGUUCGGUAGGGGAGACUGGAAUUCCUGGUGUAGGCGGUGAAAUGCGCAGAUAUCAGGAGGAACACCGGUGGCGAAGGCGGGUCUCUGGGCCGAUACUGACGCUGAGGAGCGAAAGCGUGGGGAGCGAACAGG
rnacentral:rRNA from 1 species